rnacentral:rRNA from 1 species
GAUGAACGCUGGCGGCGUGCCUAAUACAUGCAAGUCGAGCGAACAGACGAGGAGCUUGCUCCUCUGACGUUAGCGGCGGACGGGUGAGUAACACGUGUAUACCCUACCUAUCAUACUGGGAUCACUUCGGGAAACCGGCUCUAAUCCCGGAGAAUAUAUUGCACCACGUUGUUCAAUGGUGAAAUACGGUUUUUCUGUCUCUUCUAGCGGGUUCCGCGCCGGAUUAGCUAGUUGGUAAGGUCAAGGAGUACCAAGGCAACGAUGCGUAACCGACCUGAGAGGGUGAUCGGCCGCCCUGGAACUGUGACGCGGUACAGAGUCCUACGGGAGGCAGCAGUAGGGAAUCGGCCGCAAUGGGCGAAAGCUAGACGGAGCAACGCCGCGUGAGUGAUGAAGGUCUUCGGAUCGUAAAACUCUGUUAUCAGGGAAGAACAAAUGUGCAAGUAACUAGGCACGUCUUGACGGUAACUAAGCAGAAAGGCACGGCUAACUACGGG